rnacentral:rRNA from 1 species
GACGAACGCUGGCGGCGUGCUUAAUACAUGCAAGUCGAACGGAAAGGCGCUGCGUUUGCGGGGCGCUCGAGUGGCGAACGGGUGUGUAACACGUGAGUAUCCUCUCCCUGUCUUAGUGAUAACAUCAGGAGACUGGGGAUAAUACCGGAGAGAAGCUCUUGCUGCAUGUGGUGGGUUGGAGAGAGACGGCGGUUGGGGCUAGUCUCGCGGCUUAUCAGCUGGAUGGUGAGGUAGGGGCUUACCAAGGUUAUGACGGGUAGCCGGCGUGGGAGGGGGACCGGCCUCAUGGGGACUGAGAGACGGACCAGUCUCCUACGGGACGCAGCAGUGGAGAGCUUUGCGCAGCGGGGGCGAGCCAGAGAUGGAAACGCCGGGAGCGGAAUACCCGCUUUCGAGUUGAAAACAGCUGUCGACUGUGACGAAGCCUGAGUGACGGUAAUGGGUAAAGAAGCACCGGCUAACUACGUG